rnacentral:rRNA from 1 species
AAUUUUGGACAAUGGGGGAAACCCUGAUCCAGCCAUCCCGCGUGUAUGAUGAAGGCCUUCGGGUUAUAAACCGCUUUCCGGGGGGAAGAGGAAGGACGGUACCCCCGGAAGAAGUCUCGGCUAACUACGUGCCAGCAGCCGCGGUAAAACGUAGGAGGCGAGCGUUAUCCGGAUUUACUGGGUGUAAAACGCGUGUAGGCGGUCCUGCAAGUGGUGCGUGAAAGCGCCCGGCUAAACCGGGCGAGGAGGUGGGCGAACUGCAGGGCUAGAGGCAGGUAGAGGCGUGUGGAAUUCCGGGUGUAGUGGUGAAAUGCGUAGAGAUCCGGAGGAACACCAGUGGCGAAGGCGACACGCUGGGCCUGGCCUGACGCUGAGAGGCGAAAGCAUGGGGAGCGAACGGG